GCAGCACAAGCUCCCAAUACCAAAUUUAGUACUACUGACCAAUUAUAAAGAGUAAAUAUAGAAGACUAGGGUUUUAAGAUCUCUAACAAAAUUGCACUGGGAAGAAUCUGGUUCUUCAAUUUUCUGGGAUUUAUCAGAUCUGAAGAAACUGAAGAGUGGAAGUGGUAAUCGUUGAUAAGUGUAUGUUCAAGGGAGGAUUGUUUGGAUUUACUGAACUGUUGUUUGAUGUGGUUUUGGAGAAGAUAAGAUCUGCGAUUUGUAAAACCCAAAACGGAUUCUUUUUGUACUUGAUUGAUAGAUCUUCAGUUUUUUUGGGAGUUGAAUCAGUUAUUGUUUAAUUUAGAAAUGGAGACAGUUGUUGUUGUUUCUCAGCAUAAGAAUCACUACUAUGAUAGAACUAGGGGUCAAGCUCCUAUUCGAUUUGGAUCCUUUGGGUCACCUCCUUCUGUAGGGUUCAAAGAGAUAAAUUGCCGGAAUUUUGAAUCAAGUGCCGGUAUACUUCCUACCCCGUUAAAGGCCUAUUCUACACCAGUCACUAAAAAGGGUUAUUCAUCCUCGUUUCGUUCCAAAACACCUUCACCCCCAUCAUCUAUCCAGGGUAAAUCUCACUCUGAAGGUCAAAAGAAGUCGAAAAAAUCAGUCCAUAGUAGUGCAGUUUCAAUACCUAUUGACAUCAAAGGGGGUGGUGAUUCGAGAAAGGAGGGGUCUUUGAAUGAUGAGUUUGCUUAUUCUGAACUUUGGGCUGGUCCAGCUUACUCAAACUCACCUCCACCUAGCUCUUUGCCCAUCCCCAAAUUUUCUGUUAAGCCUAAAAGGACAGUUUCCCUUGACCUGCCUACUACUUCACCCUUUGGCAUUGAUUUGCCUCCCUUUGCUAAAUCUGCACCUGCAUCCCCGACCCGGGAGCGCAGCCCAUCUCCAGGAGUUUUAUCUGACAGUACUGACUCUGCAACACAGACUCUCCGACGCAUUCUCAAUCUUGAAAUUAUGGAUUGAGGGAUGUUUGGUGAGGGGCUGGUAAAGAAUGAAUAAGGCAGUUACCUAGUUUGCAAGUAUCUUUAGUAGAUUGUGUAUAGGUUAAUAAAUCAGUCUUUAGUUUGAUUGGUGACAGUUGGUUAGGUUUUGUUGUGGUGGUGAGCAGCUUUGUUUCAAUGGUGGAAGGGCUACAAUAGUUGUGACAAUGUGUUGGUUAAGGUUAUGAAUCAAUGGUGGGUAGAUCAACAUUUCCAGGUAGAUUUGAAGUUGAUUAGUUUUAUGUGCAGACGUGGUUAAAUGUGCAGACGUGGUUAAAUUUAGUAGUGGUACAACAACAUGGAGUUAUGUUGUAGUGGAGGUCAAUGGACAGCAGAAACUAUUGCAGUAUUUGUUAUAAUGGCAGAUCUUUGCCGAGUCCGCAGGAUUGGUUGCUCAAUGAUCUUUGAUGCUCUUGCAGAUCAUCACAUUACCUGUGAUGUUCAGUUCUCAGUUCUUGAUUAUACUCUUUUUAAUAGGUUGUUUUCCUUUUUUCUCUCUACAUAGUCAGUUAGCUUGUGUGUUUGUCAAACAUAUUGUACAUAUACUAGAGCUCUGAUUAGAUUAGGUGGAUAGCUAUCUUUCAGACUUUUUUUUAUACACUGUCCAGAUUCUUGGCCCUCUGCUCUCGAAUUUAGGAUCCUUCUUUGCAAUUCAAUAUCCAAUCCUCUACUGUAUAGAGUAUUAGGUACCCCUUACUCCUUACAAACUCGAUGCCUGAAUUGGCUGGUCAGCGUUCAUUUCUUCUGUGUUCUUGUUUUUUUAUUUUCGUUAAACCUUGAAUAGGAUUUAACUCAUACUUCCCUCUUCUUAAAGUUGUUUUCCCCUUCACCAUUUUCUGUUUUUUUGGAAUGAAAAUUGGUAAAGUGGGACGUAAAAGUUAGUUACAUCCUUUUCUACUCCUGCUCUUAGGUAAGUUGCCUACUGAGUAUUCCUCCAAUGAGUCUUACUAGUUCUCCUUAGUGUUUGUUCCUCUCCUUUCUCUGCUAAAAGUUUCAUUUGCCUCUGGAAAUUGUUGAUCGUACCUGGCUGUUGAUAAGGACCUUGUUUGGAGUCUGAAGAAGACUGUUGAAGAGGCUGUUCUCCAUGUUUUCUAGUUGGUAGCAUUCUGUCUCAUUUCGUUGUGUCGUAUUACUUGCAAAACUGGUACUAUGCCAUGGUUUUCUAGUUAUGUUAUGUUUUGAUCUUUGUUCUGUUAAGUCUACUUUGCGAAUGUUAUGGUUACAAGGUUAGACUUGGUAAUAUAGACAGUGGUAGUUGCUUUUGUUAUUUGCUUUCCCAGAUUGUACCAUUUCAU
rnacentral:misc_RNA from 1 species